rnacentral:rRNA from 1 species
GAUGCCCUACGGGGCGCAGCAGUGGGGGAUAUUGCACAAUGGGGGGAACCCUGAUGCAGCGACGCCGCGUGGGUGAAGAAGCGCCUCGGCGCGUAAAGCCCUGUCAGCAGGGAAGAAAAUGACGGUACCUGAAGAAGAAGCCCCGGCUAACUACGUGCCAGCAGCCGCGGUAAUACGUAGGGGGCAAGCGUUAUCCGGAUUUACUGGGUGUAAAGGGCGUGCAGCCGGGCUGACAAGUCAGAUGUGAAAUCCCGCGGCUCAACCGAGGCACUGCAUUUGAAACUGUCAGUCUUGAGUACCGGAGG